UUUUUUCUUUUCUUUUUUUUCUUUUUUUAAGGUCCCACCCACAGCAUAUGGAAGUUCCCAGGCUAGGGGUAGAUUCAGAGCUGCAGAUACCGGCCUACGCCACAGCAAGGGGAGUAUCCUUAACCCACUGAGCAAGGUCAGGGAUGGAACCCAUGUCCUCAUGGAUACUAGUCAAGUUCUUAACCCCCUGAGCCACAGUGGGAACUCCUAGGUUUUUGUUUGAUUUUUAGGGCUGUUACAAGAUAAAAUAUGGAGGCAGUUAGAUAAACACUACUUAUUUUUUUUUCUUCCAUGGAAUAGAAGAUAGGACUAGCAAAUGAGAACUUUUUUCUUUUCUUUUCUUUUUUUUUUUUUUUUUUUUUUUUUUUUGGUCCUGAGGGCCACACUGCGGUACAUGGAGAUUCCCAGGCUGGGGGUCUAAUCAGAGCUGUAGCUGCCGGCCUACACCACAGCCACAACAACGCCAGAUCUGAGCCACGUCUGCGACCUAUACCACAGCUCACGGCAAUGCUGGAUCCUUAACCCACUGAGCGAGGCCAGGGAUCAAACCCGCAACCUCAUGGUUCCUAGUUGGAUUUGUUUCCGCUGAACCAUGACAGGAACUCCAAAUGAGAACUUGUUAAACAAAUGAUUUUCCAAACUACUACCACCUUGAAUUGUUCACACUAGCUUUUAAGGAUACAAAUCAAGUGCUCCCCAAAUCAUAUACAGUUUCUAAAAGUUAUUAUAAGACAGCAUAAACAAGUGAUAAGAAUAAAGCAUAAACAAGUGAUAAGAAUAAUUAAAUAACAAUUUCAUAUCUAAUUAUUCUUCCUAAUAAUCUCCCAAAUGGCUUAGCAAAACUCUGUACUCAACAUAUUAUGUAACAUACUAUGUUUUUAAAAAAAUAAGAGAAUAACAACUUUGAUUAGACCAUAAGACAUGUAUGAAAAGAUUCUAUUGAAUUUGUUGUUAUGACAUGAAAAUUCAUCUCCCUGUUCCACAGUCCUUGGAUAUUUAAUGUCACUGCUACAUAAUCUCCUACCAUCUUCCGUAGAAGCAGGGGCUGCCAUGGUGGAAAAAUAAUAUUAGUAAAGUCAGCCUCUUGCCUGGACCUCUAAUUCAGUUGGGUCAAUUUGUAAUGGCCUACCUGGCUCCAUGCCCUGCUUCUCUUUCCUUUUGAGCUGAAUCUAUUAAAUUAACCUGACUUAUAGCCAUGCAUCUGAAUUUGAGGCCAACUCCAGCCCUCAGCAGGGGAGAGAAUAUAAGAAAUCCUUUGUCAAGGUCUUCCUGCCUCUCCCUGAUUUAGUGUUCCUCUGAUUUUUACUCCUGUCCACUCUGACUGGGUUCCUUGCCUCCCAUCCAGCUUCCUGUGAAGUGUCAGUCUCCUUGUUACUGGUCCCUCAAAUACUCAAAAGGAGACCUCCACAAUACCCAAUGCCUUUUGGAACUUUUUUUUUUUAAGGAUUACCUUGGUGUUUAAAGUAUUUGUGGGAGUUCCCAUUGUGGCUCAGCAGGUUAAGAACCCGACUAGUAUCCAUGAGGGUACUUUACUAGUAUCCGUGAGGACACAGGUUCGAUCCCUGGCCUCAUUCAGUGGGUUAAGGAUCUGGCGUUUCCAUGAGCUGUGGUGUAGGUUGCAGACACACCUCAGAUCCUGAGUUGCUGUGGCUGUAACAUAAGCGGGCAGCGGUGGCUCUGAGUUGACCCCUAGCCUGGUUACCUCCAUAUGGCACAGGUGUGGGCCUAAAGACUAAUUAAUUAAAUUUACUAAAAACACAAGGCACAGACAGACCUGAAAAGAAAAAAAAAAAGUAUUUGUGCCACUUCUUAAGUAAUCCAGAACAUGGCCUCUGUGAGGGCCAUAUUCUAUCCAUCCACAUGAUUCCCUCCCCCACUAACACACAUGGAUGAAACAUGAAUCUACUUUUCAAACUCAUAGGAAGCAGUAUGACACACAGGUUAAGGGUGUGGUUUGUGCAAUCAGGUUUCCCAGGUCUGAAAGCUAGCAGAACUUUAAGAUUCUUAAUCCCUGUAUACCAUCAUAAUUUCUUCAUCUCUAAAAUAGGGAUAAAGACAGCACCUGCUUCACACACAAAAAAAAUCUAAAUGUUAUAUAUACUAGUGUCAAAUAAAUAAUGAGUGCCACUUAAAUGUUAGUUGUUGCCAUUAUUAUUAUUCUUAUCUACCCAUUUACAGAAUGAUAAUCUGAAUUACUGUCUUUAGUCCUUGUAUUGCUGAAGCUCUGCCUGAUCCUAUAUGUCUAUUCAUUUCUGAUCUGUUUCCAUACUUCAUAUAAAUUCCUCCUUCCUAAUUUAUAGUAAAUGUGAUCACUUUCCCAAAAGAAAGUUAAUAAGGCAUUGAAAUUCAUUAGUUCCAUCUAUCUUCAUUUCAUUUCAAAGAACUAGGAGCUAUUGUUAAAUCAGCCUGAGCCUGUCCAUACUUCUCUUUUUCUGUGAUAAGAUGCUACUUUUAUAGCCACUCUGUCAUCAGGGCUUAUCUUGAAGAGCAGCUGUGGUUUAGCUUUUUGAGCAAAAGAUUUGGAAGUUCUGCAAAAUCAAACCAAGAUGGCGGCAGCUUUGCAUACUGACUGGUUCCAUUCUGACAAGGCCAAUUGGACCCUCAAUCCCGGAAUUUUUAAGCUGUGAUCUCAGAGGAGGAAUCUCAAAAUGAUCAUGUGUAGACCUCUGUAUCACAUUUCAUAGUCUCAAAUAUUUGUGGAAUUUUUAUAAAAUAUGAAUAAAAAUGAAGAUUAAAUGAUGUAACAUCCAUUUACAUGAUUCUGUUCUUAUUCUAUGCAAUACUGGUACCACCCUUCAUAUGCAUAAUAAUGCCUUAGUUAAUAAAGCCUUAAAAUAUCACUAUUUCUGAUAUUUUAAGGCUUUAUCACAAAGAGUAUGACAUGUAUGACAUCUUUAGAAGCAGAGGAGCCAGAAAUAAUGUGCACACUCCAUAAGCAAAAGAAAUAAGAGAUAGAAAAAGUGGUUUACUCCAACCUCCUAAAGAAGAAUUGAACAAAAUUCCCAGUCCCUAAACAUCUAAUACUUGGCUAAACUGCCUGGGGUUGGGGUAGGGAUGGGGGAGGAGGGCAGGACAGUUAUUCAUUUUUUGAAAAAAGAUGCUCUAAACACACACAGGUAUUAAGGCUGAAUUUAAAAUUCAAUGUAUCUUCACAUGCCUGGUCCAAUUUGAAACUGUGAAGCACUCAACUUCCAAAUUCAGUUCACAUUCACUAUUUGUACCAAAUGGCUUGCAAACAGACCUUCAGAAUAUAAGUAUCUUUGCCAAAAUAACAGGCUUUUACCCAAUUUCAUAGACUUAGGCAGCUUAUCAUAAUUCCAUUAUUUUUUGGAGAAAAACUGUAUCACACUUCUUUAAGCAUUUCUUAAGUGUGCUACUAAGAAUUAACCAGGAUAGCAGGAAUGCUGUAUAAUUUUCAAUGCCAUCAAAAAUUAUUCCUAAAUCAGAGCUUUACCAUGUGCUUCAUAGUUACUGUUAAGUGUUGAUUCAUUGGAAGGUAGUGACAAGGGUUUAGUGGAGGAAGUAGCCACUGCCAAAUCUAAACCUGAGUCAAGAACAUGGAAUCAUAGAAGACUGUGUUCCACUCCAGGGCUGAACUCUGUCACCUCUUCCAGUAUUUACUUCCCCCCUCUUUGGUUUCACUUAAGGGUUGGUUACUCAAACUCAUCUUGUGACCCGUGGCCUAUGAGUUACCCUGCUGUUAGUUUUCAGGAGAAGAGCUCAGAACGUACAUUCACAGCUGUUUAAAAUUAACACUUCUUUCUUAUCAGAAACAGCUCAACUCUUUUCCUGACAUCAACACAUUAUUGAAAAUUCUGCUCUGUAAAUUCUUUGUCCUUCCUGACUCUGCCCUUUAUUACUGCCUACAGCCAGUAAUAAGAAUGGAUUGUCUGUCAGAGGAAACUGUGGCCUCACCAAUGCAUAUAAAAAUUCCAGAUGUUCAACAUCUUUAAAUGAUGGCUCCAGACUUAUCCAGUUGAAUCAGUUUUUACUCAAUUGGGUAUUUAAAUAUUUUUGGUUUUGAAUACUGAAUGUAGAGUUGGCUAAGCACCCAGGACACCACGUGAAUUUACAGUGAUGGUGAGUACUUGGGUCACACUGGUACAAGUCUGUGAUUUCUGCAGUAAAUACAAACAAGUAAGACUGGAGUGUAUAUACGAGACUUCAUUUUCUCAAAAACUUUCCUAUAUUUUCUCUAAAUAUUUAUGUUCAAGUAGGCACCAAAGUGGUAACUCUACUGGAAUAAAACAUUAAUCAGACACAGUAGAGAAUUUAUUUAGGCCCAGAUUAUCCUCAGCCCCUUCAGCCCCUGGACUUUCUGCAGUAAGGUUCCCAGGUGCGGCCCUAAAAAAAAAAAAAAAGAGGAAUAAAGAAUAAAAAACAUUGUACCACUUAGUCAUGGAAUAUAAGAAAACAUGAGUUUUCAAAAACCCAUUAAGGCAGUAUCCUAGGUAAGGUGUGACUUAAAGGAACUAUGUCUGAUAAAUUACUAGGAAAAGUGCUUCCUAAAUUAAAGAUGAACCAAUUAAAAUUAUAUUAGAAAUGAGCAAGAACUAAAGUUCUUUUGGUCAACUGGUUUUCAACUUUCUCCCAUUUAAAAUAAUUCUGACAGGAAUUAAAAAUUUAGUGGCAAAAUCCCUGGUGGCACAGAGGGUUAAGAACACGACAUUGUCACUGCAGCAGGUUGCUGCUGUGGUGCAGGUUUGAGCCCUAGCCAAGAAACUUCCUUUUACCACAGGCAUGGCCAAAAAAAAUCUGUGGCAAAUUAUGUAAGACAAGACAGCAGUCUGGGCUUAUCCAGAACAGAAAGCAGUUCUUCAAACCAUUUCUAACACAGUGUUGUAGAACCAAAUGCUUCAGACUAUUUAAAUUUAUACCAGAAUCUAAAUUCUGGGCUCAUAAACAAACCAAGCUCUCAAACUCCUCAAAUUUACUCUGAAUAGUUAAUACAAAAGUGGUCUGGGAAAAAAAAAAGUACAGAAAAAGCUUACACCCAGAUUUAUUCUGUAAUUUUUGUAAAUCACAUUUUUGGAAAGAGGUAGGAAGUAAGGAAAAAUCUAAAGAUAGGCUUUUUCUUAGUUAUGUAAAGUAUUUUAUUUCUAAUCUAAGAAGAGUAGCUCGCUCUUGUUGUAGAUGUUUUCUGUUCUCACCAUUUAAGGUUAGCCGAAUAAAAUUGGUGAUGUUGAAAAUUCAAGGAAAUUCAAAUUAAAAUUGAGCCAAAUGCUGGCUGUCAGACUGAUGAGAUUAAUUCCAACUUUUGCUGUUUGCCCAAGAGAGUCUCAUGAUUUUUACUUUUAAUGAGAUAAAGACAAGGAAUGUAUAAAUUGGUACUCCAGCUUGGGGAUAGAAAUGUGACUCCCCGAAUUGUCAUGUACCGGGAAUAUCAUAGCUUCCAAGGAAAGGGAAAGCUAUUCUGCAAAACAGAAGCAUUUGAGAAGGGGGCAGGGUAUUGCGGUUAAAGGACAAGGCUGAGAAAGGAUGAUGGACAACCUUGUGGUGUCCAAGAGGAAAGUUACCAAUAUUCGUAAAAUGCUUGCUGAAGGCAUGUGCUGUAGAAACCAGAAAGGAUGGAACUCUAUACCCAGAAUGACCUGGCAAAUUGUGGUAGCUUCCAGAGAAACACAGGAGGGGGACCCUAAAAGUCUAAGACCUGGGAAUUGGAAAUGUGGGGAGAGCUUCAGGUUUCCAAAGGCCAUUAUAAAACAACUGAGGUCUAAGUUAACUAUAUGUAGAUUGUUAAAUGCUGAAGCAAUUCCACGUGAUAUCUAGAUCAUAUAGUAAAUGAUUAUUAGGGAUCAUAUACCAAUACACAUUAGGUAAAUCAGUUUGUAAAUAAAUACUAUCUUUCCUCAUACUUCCACUCUUCCAAACAUGAAGAACCCAAUGAUAAUAACAGUAUGAUCUUUGAAGUCAAAUAGACCUCAAGUCAAAUCCUAGCUCUGC
rnacentral:lncRNA from 1 species